UGUAAGCGUAUACCAAAGUUGUUGCAGUUAAAACGCUCGUAGUCGGAAUUUGGCAGUUCCGGAAGUGUGCACGUCGUGUGCGCACUUUGCGGGGACUGCUUUUGUGGUCUUGCGUAGGAUGAGGCACUUUCAUUAGUGAACGUCCUCACGCAACCACUCUUUACUGUGAGAAAAUCAGAGUGCUCAAAGCAGGCAUUUGCCGUGAAUGUAUUAGCAUGGAAUAAUAGAAUAGGACUCGGUUCUAUUUUGUUGGUUCGUUGGGACUGAGUAAUGAUUAAGAGGGACAGUUGGGGGCAUUUGUAUUCCGGCGCUAGAGGUGAAAUUCUUAGAUUGCCGGAAGACAAACUGCUGCGAAAGCGUCUGCCAAGGAUGUUUUCAUUGA
rnacentral:rRNA from 1 species